rnacentral:piRNA from 1 species
UCCUUCAAGAUCAUCUCUUCAGGUUUGAC